GACGAACGCUGGCGGCGUGCCUAAUACAUGCAAGUCGAACGCUGAAGGAGGAGCUUGCUCUUCUGGAUGAGUUGCGAACGGGUGAGUAACGCGUAGGUAACCUGCCUGGUAGCGGGGGAUAACUAUUGGAAACGAUAGCUAAUACCGCAUAAGAGUAGAUGUUGCAUGACAUUUACUUAAAAGGUGCAAUUGCAUCACUACCAGAUGGCCCUGCGUUGUAUUAGCUAGUUGGUGGGGUAACGGCUUACCAAGGCGACGAUACAUAGCCGACCUGAGAGGGUGAUCGGCCACACUGGGACUGAGACACGGCCCAGACUCCUACGGGAGGCAGCAGUAGGGAAUCUUCGGCAAUGGACGGAAGUCUGACCGAGCAACGCCGCGUGAGUGAAGAAGGUUUUCGGAUCGUAAAGCUCUGUUGUAAGAGAAGAACGAGUGUGAGAGUGGAAAGUUCACACUGUGACGGUAUCUUACCAGAAAGGGACGGCUAACUACGUG
rnacentral:rRNA from 1 species